UACUAGAGUUGUGGAGCUGGGUUUAGGCAGCUCCACAACUCCACUCCAAAUUCAACUCCUAGAGUUAUAUUUAGGAGUUGGAGUUAUACCAAACAGGCCCUUAUAUUUAGACUUCUGAGAGGUUAGCAGCUUGGCAAAGAGUUUAGAUGGGCCAUCUCAACACCAUGUUACCUUUGCUUUCAUUUGUGUUAUUGGGGAUAGCUCAAGUCAAGAGAAGCUUUGUGUUACACGGUGUCACCUGCUUGAUAGUAACUCUCCGUGUCAUUGUUUUUAUAUCGACAUGUUUGAAGUCUUCUCUUUUGACACCGGGUGGCAAGAUAGCACUGCCUGGAUUGAGUAAAUAACAGUAAAUCCAUUAGUCCAAUGCCAAAUAUAAUAAAAUGUUUUACUCACUCCAUUUUAUUUUAUAUGUUUUCACUAAUCGCAUUUUUUAAAUUGACCAAAUUUACAGAUAAAUUUAUUAGCAACGUCUAUAAUACUAAAUUAGUCUAAUCAUAUUAGCAUUGAAUAUAUUUGAAUAAUAUAUAUGUUUGUAUUAUGUUGAAAAUUUUAGUGUUUUCUAUAUAUAAACUUGAUUAAAUUUAAACAAAUAUAACUUAAAAAAUUGAAAUAUCUUAUAAUAUAAAACGAAGAGGGUAGACAUUAACAUAUUUUUGUCCCAAGAAAUGCAGUGACUCAUCCUUCUUUCCAACCACUACAUGUACUAAUUUGCCAACAGCAUAUAAGUACAAUUCAACGUUCGGUAGUUUGAAUAAUCCAAUACACGUAGCAAGAGCUUGUGGCGCCACAUACUGUAUAAACACCUUCCCCACCUCAAUAUUGAAAAUUUUAUAGAAAAUUUCGUCACUACCCACUGAAAUUGACUAGCUUUCAUUCUGUUAUAAAUAGAGGGCCAACUGUAAGAGCAGAGGCAAAGGCUGAAAGGCAUAGCUCUAGACACACUUAUAUUUAAACUUCUGAGAGGGUAGCAGCUUGGCAGAGUUUAGAUGGGCCACCUCAACACCAUGUUACCUUUGCUUUCAUUCGUGUUAUUGGGGAUAGCUCAAGUCAAGAGAAGCUUUGCACUCAGUCCAGUCCUCUCCUAUGGCCAUCUCAUCACCCCAUAUCCAGAGGGUAUGACCAGACGGUUGGAGAAAAGGUUCCUACUGGAUCAUGGUACCAAUCCAAGUCCUUCUAAUGCAUCCCUACCCUCCACUUCUACACUCGCUCGCUGUCCAAAGAGAUGCGGCAAAUUGAGCUUCGAUUAUCCCUUUGGCAUAGGACAAGGUUGUUUCCGCCAUGUCGAUUUCAGUCUCACAUGCGACAUGGCCACUCAGCCUCCUAAACUCUUCCUGAACAAUGGAUCGACAGAGGUUCUUGGUGAUAUUGGGGUAGAUGGUCUGAAUAUCUAUUUUAUCCACUUCAACUUAAUUCCGAUCACCUCCACCCAUGUCAUCCCUAUAAAUUCCGGUGGUGAUGUCUACAACUUUUCAUGGAAAAAUCCAGGGGAUUCUUUUACCUUUGCACGACAGGGCAUGACAUUUGUUGUCACCAGCUGUGACUUGGAUGUAUACAUGGUAGAUCAAGAAAAAAGCACACCUAUUUUGCUUGGCACUAUCGCUUGUCCCAGCAAAGAGAUUGCUGAGAUGGUAUACAGACAGGAUUCUGAAGGCCCUGGUUGGUACACUAUAGAUUCACUACCAGCUCGGACAGUUCAGUUACAGUUUGUUCGUCACAAGACCGGUAAUACCCAAAAGUACUUUAAUCUAACCAUGUUGUGGGAUAGAAUCAACAUUACUGUGAAGGCCAACCUUGCUUGGAAUAUUGUGGACCAAACAAGAUGCUUGAAUAACAUGGAGGAUGACAGGAAGAACCAUGCUUGUAUCAGCAAUCACAGUUCAUGUGUCUCCUCGCAGUAUAUUGAUGUUGGCUAUGCAUGCCGGUGCAAUGAUGGCUACGUUGGAAAUCCCUAUAUUAUGGAUGGCUGCAAACUCGAUGACGGUUAUAACCCAAGACCACAAAAACAUAAUUGCUCUCGACAAUGUGGAACAAUCGUUGUCCCAUUUCCUUUUGGCCUUGAAGAGGGUUGUGCCGCCAGGGAAGUGUUUCAGCUCUCGUGCCUAGGCAAGCCAAAUUCUGUGCUGCAGUACAAUGACUUCAUCGGUGUUCAGUAUAUAAAUAUUUUCAUCUCAAGGAGUAGUAUCCAACAUAUUUGGUAAAGGGCCUAACCUGUAUGUGGAUCCAACGGAAUCAGCCUCGGUGCAGUGGGCAGUUGCCAAUCUGACCUGCCAACAGGCGCAGCAAAACACUUCGACAUAUGCUUGUGUAAGUACCAAUAGCUCCUGCUCCAGGGUCAUCAGCACCAUGCAAGGUUAUGUUGGCUACAGGUGUACUUGUUUGCCUGGUUAUGAUGGAAAUCCAUAUAUCCCAGAUGGGUGUAAAGAUAUUGACGAAUGCCUACAAACACCACGGAUUUGCAAGGAACUUUGCCACAAUACUGAAGGAAACUACAGCUGCACCAUGUGCCCUGAUCAUACAGAGUAUGACGUUAUAAGAAUGCAGUGCACUCCAAGAAGAAACCAAAGUCUCUUGUUA